UGGGGAAUUUUGGACAAUGGGCGAAAGCCUGAUCCAGCAAUGCCGCGUGUGUGAAGAAGGCCUUCGGGUUGUAAAGCACUUUUGUCCGGAAAGAAAUGGCUCUGGUUAAUACCUGGGGUCGAUGACGGUACCGGAAGAAUAAGGACCGGCUAACUACGUGCCAGCAGCCGCGGUAAUACGUAGGGUCCAAGCGUUAAUCGGAAUUACUGGGCGUAAAGCGUGCGCAGGCGGUUGUGCAAGACCGAUGUGAAAUCCCCGAGCUUAACUUGGGAAUUGCAUUGGUGACUGCACGGCUAGAGUGUGUCAGAGGGGGGUAGAAUUCCACGUGUAGCAGUGAAAUGCGUAGAGAUGUGGAGGAAUACCGAUGGCGAAGGCAGCCCCCUGGGAUAACACUGACGCUCAUGCACGAAAGCGUGGGGAGCAAACAGGAUUAGAUACCCUGGUAGUCCACGCCCUAAACGAUGUCAACUAGUUGUUGGGGAUUCAUUUCCUUAGUAACGUAGCUAACGCGUGAAGUUGACCGCCUGGGGAGUACGGUCGCAAGAUUAAAAGCUCAAAAGGAAUUGACGGGGUCAUAGCUGUUUCC
rnacentral:rRNA from 1 species